GUUUGGCUGUGGGAUGGCGUUCGCCUCUGGUCCCGUCCCGGCCUUGGGCACACGCUGCAGCCUGAGGCAGGGAUCUGAAGGACAGAACCCAGGGGUGAGGCCAGACUAUCCAGGCAGAGUCCAGUCCCAGGUUCCAGGUAUGCCUUAGAUGCAGAAAUGGGCCAGCUGGGGGGCUGUGCCAGGUCACGGGUCUGUGGGCACGUCUGCAGGAGAACCGGGGGCUUCCUUGGUCUGGGCGCCCCGUGAACCUCUCAGCUGUGCCCCCAGGGGCUGUGCAUCCCAUACCCUCGGUAACACCCUGCAUCUUGCUCUCCCGUCUACAAGCCUUCUGAGCACUCGGGAGAGCCGGUGGGGAAAGGGCACGGGGUCCGGGAGCCCAGGAGGAGAGGUUGUUCUCUUGGGUUUCCCAGAAGUGGUGCCUGUGGCCGUGAAGCCUGGCCCAGCCUAGGGUGGGGGCCGGGGCCAUGUUCUGCUCCAGUGGGCUGUGUCAGCCUUGUCAUCAGCCUGGCAGCCAGCUGGCUCCUGGGGAUCCAUCAUCUAACGGUGGCACUCGAACAGCAGCUACUGCUUGGAAUCACCCAGAAAGUCUUCAGCAAACAGCCCCCAACACAUGACACACCCUUGAAUGGAGCCCAGACUCCCCCCAGGCAACUGAGUCAGGUGGCGUGGCCGUGAUGCUGGGGGCAAGGGCGGAGUGGAGGCUGGGAGGGGUUACUCUCCACGUUCCUUCCCCCCCUCCGCUGACCCUGCACUCACACGGGCCAGGCAGAGGCCCUUGUCCUCACUCCAAAGUCCUGGCCCAGAUUCUGUCUAUGCCUUGCAUACAGAAAAAUGGGCCACCCAGGGGGCUCUGCAAGGUCAAGGACGAUGUUGGAGAGGGCACGGGGUGGAGCCAGGUGGCUGAACCUGGGGCAGUGCCAUCCCCUGGUUGGGACGUUCCUGGACGUCAGUGCAGGUGGAGCGUGGUUUACGCCACGGAACUGGCAAACGCUCCCCAUCGGGACUGCUUUCCCCCCCGGGGCCGGUCUUCCGCACCCCGCUGGUGGGGAGAGGCCUGGCCCCCGGGCUGUCCUCCCUUCCCCGCACCUGCCCUGAGACGUGAGACGGCACUCUUCUGGGAACAGCCUCUGUCUGAGACCCCCCUCCAGCUGUCCUGGAAGAGCUGCAGCCUGUGGAUAGUUGGGUGGGAGGAGUCGGCACCGGCACAGCGAGGGGGCCCUCCAUCGCGGGCCAGCGGGCACAGGGGGCGUCCUCUGCGGCAAGGACUGCACUCCCUGACAGCCUGCCGGCCCCUGCCGGCUGCCCCCCACUCCAGCCUGCACAGCCAAGCCUGUGUGAGCCUUUGCCCCUCUUCCUUAGGCUCUCCCUCGGGGGGCAGUGCACGAGAGGACAGAAUCGGGAGCCCCGCUCCCCUGGGGGUGGGAGAGCACGGCUGGCCACAGCUAGAUUAGGUCUCAAGGGACACCACCCCAGGUGGGGCCCCAGGCCCCCUCUCACAGGACCCACCCACAGAGAACGGAAGGUGCCGCCUGUUCCCCCACACGGGGUCAGGCGGGAUGACGGGCUGGGCUGAUGUCCCUGCUGGGGUCUGUCCUCCUCAGGAGGUAACCUGAGACUGUGUCGAGCCCAAAAAAGCCACUGCCCUUUAGAGCCAGCUGGGUGGGAGGAGGCCAGGCCUGAGCGGGGAAGGGAGGAAGGGCGGCAGCUGCUGGUCAGGCCAGACCCUCCGCCCCGGGGCCAGACGCAGGUGAGGGCCAGAGGCGGGGCUGUCAGGUAGCUUGGGCAGCAGGGCCCUGCUGUGGCCGAGGCUGGACGGCCGCGUC
rnacentral:lncRNA from 1 species